rnacentral:rRNA from 1 species
AAUAGAUACCCCGGUAGUCCACGCCGUAAACGAUGAGUGCUAAGUGUUAGGGGGGUUUCCGCCCCUUAGUGCUGCAGCUAACGCAUUAAGCACUCCGCCUGGGGAGUACGGUCGCAAGACUGAAACUCAAAGGAAUUGACGGGGGGCCCGCACAAGCGGUGGAGCAUGUGGUUUAAUUCGAAGCAACGCGAAGAACCUUACCAGGUCUUGACAUCCCGCUGAUCACUAUGGAGACAUAGUUUUCCCGUUCGGGGACAGUGGUGACAGGUGGUGCAUGGUUGUCGUCAGCUCGUGUCGUGAGAUGUUGGGUUAAGUCCCGCAACGAGCGCAACCCUUGAUCUUAGUUGCCAUCAUUUAGUUGGGCACUCUAAGGUGACUGCCGGUGACAAACCGGAGGAAGGUGGGGAUGACGUCAAAUCAUCAUGCCCCUUAUGACCUGGGCUACACACGUGCUACAAUGGACGGUACAAACGGUUGCCAACCCGCGAGGGGAGCUAAUCCGAUAAAACCGUUCUCAGUUCGGAUUGUAGGCUGCAACUCGCCUAC